rnacentral:rRNA from 1 species
GAUGAACGCUGGCGGCGUGCCUAAUACAUGCAAGUCGAGCGAACGGACGAGAAUCUUGCUUCUCUGAUGUUAGCGGCGGACGGGUGAGUAACACGUGGAUAACCUACCUAUAAGACUGGGAUAACUUCGGGAAACCGGAGCUAAUACCGGAUAAUAUUUUGAACCGCAUGGUUCAAAAGUGAUAGACGGUCUUGCUGUCACUUAUAGAUGGAUCCGCGCUGCAUUAGCUAGUUGGUAAGGUAACGGCUUACCAAGGCAACGAUGCAUAGCCGACCUGAGAGGGUGAUCGGCCACACUGGAACUGAGACACGGUCCAGACUCCUACGGGAGGCAGCAGUAGGGAAUCUUCGGCAAUGGGCGAAAGCCUGACGGAGCAACGCCGCGUGAGUGAUGAAGGUCUUCGGAUCGUAAAACUCUGUUAUUAGGGAAGAACAUAUGUGUAAGUAACUGUGCACAUCUUGACGGUACCUAAUCAGAAAGCAACGGCUAACUACGUG